rnacentral:RNase_P_RNA from 1 species
AGCGAUGAACCGCCGCCGCGGCGUCACGGCUUUGCCGCGAUGCUGAGGAAAGUCCGGGCUCCGCAGGGCAUGAUGCCGGCUAACGGCCGGGGGAUCCGUCAGCGCGGAUUCACAGACAGCGCAACAGAAAGUAUACCGCCGCGCCGCCGAACGGCACGGUAAGGGUGAAAUGGCGGGGUAAGAGCCCACCUCGGGACCGGCAACGGUUCCGGCACGGCAAGCCUCAUCAGGAGCAAAGCUAAACAGCGGCCGGGUUGCCCGCCCGAAGGUCGCGGGUAGGCUGCAUGGAAGACGCCGGUGACGGCGGCUCAAGAUAGAUGGCGGCGGCCUUUCACCGGUACGUCCGGUUUUGAAAGGCACAGAAUCCGGCUUACGGUUCAUCGCUUUUU